CCCUAUCUAAAGUAAUUUGGCAAUAUAGGUCAAGAGUUAUAAACUGUGGCCUUUGACUCAAUAAGCCUUCUGCUGAGAAUGUGUCCAAAUGAUUUCCAAGAAGAGGAAAGUUACAUGCAAAGAGGUGCACAGUUCCCCAACCCCAGACGUAAGAAUACACUGGAGUCCCAUGAUUGCCAACUGGUUUUAAAUAUGAUCUAUCAGCUUCACCAACCAUGACGCACUGAUAGAAAUGAGCAUUGUACAGUGCUUUAAUAGAAAUAAUGAACAGUUUACGAUAUAAGCAUGAUUGGAUGAAAAACAACCAGAAACUCUCUAUCUCCAUGACACAGAUAGAGAAACGUGCUCUCUAAUGAGAAAGAUAAGUAAGCAUGGACGGAACAGAGUGGACAUCUGAAAUAAUAUCCCAUCCAUCCAGAGUGGGUGGACAUUGACUUCCCCUCUCAGGUUUUCCUUUCUUUGGAGUGUUAUCCCAUUGUGGUGCUGUUGGCUGAAUAACUGAUAGCAAUGGUGGUGAUGAUGGAAAUGCUCAAAAACAUGUGAAAGAGAUGGGCUACAAAGUUGGCGUAGUGGUUAUGGCUAUGCGUUGCUCUUGCAGUGGAGCUGGGCUUGGUUUUCAGCACUGCCCUAGCUAUAACUCCAGUCCCCAGGGAAUCUGAUGGCCCAUUCUAACCUAAACAAGCACCAUGCACACAUGUAUUACAGACAUAUAUGUAGGCAGAACACUCAUACACAUAAAAUAAUGAAAUUUUUUAAGAUUUACAAAAUAAAGAUGUGAGACUCAGUCUCAGAGCCCUAAAAUGAGAUAUGAGAAAUGGACAAACUCAGAAAGCAUCAAAGGGCAAGUCAAAGAAAGCAAUCUUAAUCUUGCUGGACAUGGUGGUACACACUCAUAAUCCCCGCCCCAGGGAGACAGAGGCAGGAGUCUUAGCGGUUCACUGGUAAGCCAAUCUGACAUAAUUAGUGAGCUCCAGACCAAUGAGAGAUGCUGUUUCAAAGAAAGUGAUGGCAUUCCUGAGGACAACUCUCCUAAGUUGUCCCCUAACCUCUACAGAUAGAGGACAUGGUCUCUAAUGAGAGAAAGCAGAAUGUGGGUGAAGGUGCAGUCACAUGUAGGCCACGUCAGCUUACUGAGCCCUGCAGUGUAUACAGGUGGAUCUAACAGUCUCUGAUAGCCUCAGCUUGAGAAGUUCAGGCCUCUGCUUCCUACAGUGUUCAGAUAAGAGUAGAAAAACCCAGAUCUGUAUAUGAUCAGAUGUUAACUGAUUGCCACGAAUGUUCAUACAAAACCUUACAGGGAGGUGUAGAAGUGAUUUCACUACUCAGCAACCCAAACUAAGCCUCUUUUCUGAAAGGUAACCGAGACCAGACCAUCCUAGAAUUCCAACAGACUGCUGUCUGUACAAAAUACAGGCAGAAACAGCCAAACCAGGGGAGACACCCUACCCUGUUCCAUGAAAGAAGACAAGCACUUCAAGGCUGGCCUGCUCAAGAGCGGACCAGGAGGCCUGCUAGUGUGCUGACCAUUGAAGUGUGGUGGCGAAGAGGUGAUAAGAAGGCUCCCUGGUGACAGGCUCUGCCGCAAAGAUCCUAUCUACCACCAACGGAACUUCAAAGGCAUCUUUAUCGGCAGGGCCCACCUCAGGAAGGUGGAUUCCUAAGAAACUUCUCCUGGUGACUUCUAGGUGUUCUGUGAGGGUAUUGGCAGAGAACACUACCUAAGGCAUGAAACCAGCACCCAUGAACACAAGUGGCAACAUCCCAAGAACUGGAGUCUAGUGUUGAAUGUUAAGAAGGGGAAACAAAACAACAACAAAAGGGGAAUCCAGAUGAGUACCAGCAUUCACCUCUCUUCUCUGCUUCUUGACUAUGGAUUCCACCUCAACCUCCUGACACUAGAACUACAGCUGUUCUCACUGCCAUAAUAAAUGGUACCCUCAAACAGUGAGCCAAAAUAAAAGGUUCCUUCAGUCACAAGGAGGAAAGCAGGACACUAAGGUACAUGCCAACUUUUCUUUAAACACAAAACUGUCAAUCAACUACACUAGGUUAAGAGAGACGCAAGAUCCGCAAACCUGCUGUUUCCAGUGAAAAGGAGACUGUUCUCUGCUCCCAAUUAGGGGACAUUUGGUGAUGUCUAAAAUCAUUUUGAGUUGUUAUAACUAGGGUGGGGGGUUGUGGAGCUUCCUUCUUAUGUAGGAAGAAGGUGAAGGAAACUGUUAGAAUGCACAGGGCAGCCAAAUGCUGAACUAUCUUAUCCAAAAUGUCAACCAUAGGAGGCUGAGACGCGGGGUUGGGGAUUUAGCUCAGUGGUAGAGCGCUUGCCUAGCAAGCACAAGGCCCUGGGAUCGGUCCCCAGCUCCGGAAAAAAGAAAAAGAAAAAAAAAAAAGAAGGAGACUGAGACGCUUUAGUUCAGACCCCACGUGUCUUUAAAUCUCCAUAAUCCUCAGGCCAUACAAGAAAAACCUUUCUAGCAACCACUAAAAUACUACUUUCUGAUUGGUAUUAGACUCAGUAGAAACCGUUUUUAUGGCUAACACAGGCAGAGUUGCAGAAAAGCUCAACCACAGAGAAGUGUUCAGUUGAAACUCUUCCCAUGAAAUGAUUCAGGAUGCUUGAGAAAUCUGUCCCUUCAUGCAAUAUUCCUGAAGGCCUACUAUGAGUCAGGCAGGCCCCAUGCUAGGAUGGGGAAUGGUUCCAACAGCAAGCACGACUUUCCGAAAUGCAGGACUCUGAUAUCAUCUCCAUCCAUCUCCAGAUGGGAUAUGCCCUGGCUUCAGACCCAAAACCCCACAUAGAACAUUCUAUUCUUUCAGAACCUUGGGAGAAAGGGCCGAGAUAGAGUAAUAAUCACAGUUAAAAUGGCAGCUUAUAAAAUCUCACCCACAGACUUGACAGUUUUAGAACAGCCAAUAUUUCAAUAGAUAAAAACUCAUAACUAGACUUCAAAGCGGAAUGGAUUGAGCACUACGGACUUUUGUUUUCCAUUGAAAGAUGCUGAAGCUGGAGGUUCCAAUACCUGAAAUGACAAACAUACCAGCUGUCGGGAUGAGUCAGCUCUGUGGUACUAGUGACUGUCACUCCGGAACUGUCAUUCAUAGGAGAGCCCUGUGCUCUCACUCGUCUAGCUCAGCAGCUGUGUAGAAGGUGGCUGCCCAACCCCCUCCCUAGCAUCAGGACCAUUAUAGGUCACAGGAGAAAAAGUACUGCAUCAGUUUCAAUAUACAAAUAUAUAAAUGGGGAUAUGUUAAUAAGAGGCAGUUGUGAGCUCACAGGAACCAAACUGUACUGAUUUCUAUCCCUUGUCUGAGGCAAACAGGCCCGGGUUAAAACACACAGUUUAAAAGAGCCCCUUCCAAACUGGAAGUAGAAACAAUUAUCUCACAACUGGUUAGAGGGAGACAAGUGAAAGCUGUGCAGACAUGUUCAGAACUGAACUGGGAAGGUGGGGCUAUGCUCAAAGCCUAUGAACCUGGAAGGAGUCUGAGACAUGGGAUGACUGGAAAAAUAAAGUCAUUACUCUGUUCCCAGAUGCAAAAUGUCCCACAGAAGACCUCAAGGUGGAAUGAUCCUAGGAAAAUGAAGACUACCACUUCCCCAAGAGGAAAAGUCUCAUGGCACCCAUGUUUAGGGCCAGGCUGGGGGUUUACAGUGCUUAAUACUGAUUGUACGGCUGAUCUACAACCACUGGAAAGAGAAUCUUCUGGGCAUGUCUAUGUCAGAUUAUCUAUACUAGGUUAAAUGAGGUGAGAAGGCCCACCCUAAAUAUUGGCCAUACUGUAACAUGAACUGGGGGUCCCAGACAGCCCAAGAGGAGAGAGGAAAGUGAGCACCAACAUUCUUCUCCCUGUGACUGAGGAGGAAAGGUGACCAGCUGUGAGUUCCUGUCACCAUAGUCCCCUGUGAUGGUAGACUGUACUCUUGAACUGUGAGCUAAAAUGAGUCUUUCUUUCUUUGCAUUUGCUUCUUCGAUGGUGUUUUUAUAAAAGGAACAAGACAUGUAACUUAAACAAAGCUCAACAAUGGAAGGCUGGCACAUGAGGCCCCAGACUCAGAAUGAUGGGGAAAAGACGUGGAUUCACCCACAUAAGGAGGCCACGAUUAGUCAGAGACUUGACGGUCAUGGUCAUGGUCAGAGUGUUCAUUCACAGGAACAAAGUAAUAAGCAUUGGUGUUCCAGACAUACAUCCUUUAGCAGGGACUUGGGACCCCAGCAAACCAGCAGAAUAAGGUACAUUAUCUCCAUAAUGAGAACAAGGACAGCAAAUAUUCACUGAGGGUUUACUACUGACCAGAUGCAACAAGGAAGAUCAGAAGUUGAAUAUUGGCUAUAUCAUGAGGUUCAACCUUCCCUGGGUAUGAAUGGACUGAAUACUCAGAUUUUCUAAAUACUGAAUUUUUUUUUCAUUUCUUUUUUUUUUUUUUUUUUUCGGAGCUGGGGACCGAUCCCAGGGCCUUGCGCUUGCUAGGCAAGUGCUCUGCCACUGAGCUAAAUCCCCAUCCCCUGAAUACUGAAUUUUUAUAGCAACCAUCAUAGGCACGGUGGCAGGAUAAUAUCUCCCACUCAGAAAGCAAAAUAAUCUAAGUUGGGGAUCGUAUACAUAAUUACCAUUUUGAAUACUUAAAAGAGUGACCAUGAUUAUAAAAAAAAGAAGUGGUGUCCAGUAGGGAGGAUACUUUACCUAGAAGACCUCUCCCGUCCAGGCUCUGAGGACCUGGGAGGGUGCAGGAAUAUAUAACCCCUCAGAUGUUGCCUGAAACUUAUUCCUGUCAACUCUUCUACCCAUGGACCACCUAACUAGACAUGCACCAUCCCAUUGGCUGGGAGCACGCCAUCUAGCAGCAGGAGGUGACUCUAGGAAGUACUAUUGGCUAGAAGAGCAAAGGCCAUGUGGACCACUGGGAACCAAAUGCAGAUUUUGUGGACCACAAUGUUCAGGAAUUGAAGUUCUAGUGUAUCCUUACCUGGCUGAGAUGUCUUCUAAAGUGUCCUUUGUCCAGUCACUUCAGACCACAUCCAAUCUGCCACUGUUCCUUCUGGUAAAAAAAAAAUCUCUGCUCCAUCCAUAUCAUAUAGGGCACAUGGCCCUAACUUAGUCCCUACACAUGAGGAUCCUUCAUUAAUGACUGGUAAAUGAGAUGGAGGGCAGGAUGGGUGACCGUACCACCAAAGAGGUGUUCUUUCCUCCUCAGUAACUAUUGGGAUACAGGGAGAGGAAAGUCAUCACCUCCAGCCUCUCAUUCAACAACACAGAUUGAAAAAGUCAAUGACAUUUCUGCACCCCACAACCCCACGGCUCCAUCCUUGACAUCACCUCUAACGCAACAAUUCGCCUGUCACAGGAGGACCCUUGGACAAAGCAAUAAAAAUGGAGUUGGAAUUUAGUUCCUGUCCAACAAAGCAUAAAUCCUUCUGUACUGCACAUUAUUGUCUUGCCACUUCCAGAACGAAUGGCAUCGCUUUUUAAAGGGGUCAUUUUCCUCUAAACACUUGAAGGAAACAAAUGUCAGAACCCCAAAGGGAUCUUCAAUUUGACUUCAUGCCAUCUGUCUUACCAGGAGCUUUCAACUAUAUGCAUUUGUGAAACCAUAAGACAUAACUGCAAGGUAAGGCUUUCCCUGUACAGCCUCAAACUGUCCCUACUUGGGAGCACUUCCCGUUAUCAACUGGAACAACUCUGCUCAAGGGAUGUAGGUUUUGAAACCAUGGAACUUCAUCUGUAGUCAAGAAGAAAUACAAUACAAGUUGGCUCUCUCCAUCCCAGAAUGGGACAUCCUCAGGGACCUGUAGCCUACUGAAGAGCCACACUCUUUUUCUGGAAACCGCUGUUUUCAAUUUUGCUUAUGGGUGACUACAACUGCCAUUGCCGAAAGUCUGAACUGAAAACACUAGGGUGCACUGUUUCUGGAAUGAUAGGCAGGGCCAAGAGAGGCCAUCAGAUUCACCCUACCAUUCCCCUAUAUGAAGAUACCCUUAUUCUCCAUAUGGCUUCAUUCCUUGAGCAGUCCAUCAGAGAGAUCAUAUGUAGAGGACACAGAGCCAGUGGUGUCCAUCUGGCUUCAGUCUUGAGGGGAUGAAGCUGCCUUAGAAGAAGAACCAGAGGAAGAAUAGGGUGAGAAGACACUAAUAGACAACUCAGGUACAGAUGUUUGAGCAGCUGCAAGCCAGACAUAGCAUAUAAAGGGUCAUGAUUUGCAGUAAUAAAGAAUCUGGGAUUCAAAUACUACCUCAGUCUUACUGAGAAUCAAAAGUAUCUUUCCUUUCUGAGCCCUGAGUUUGACCUCUGUAAAUUACAGAUGAUAAUGGCCUGCCUUGCAUAUGGAAAGAUUAAUUAGAUGAUGUCCCAGCAAGCUUAUGAAUUGCAGGUGAGGCUGCUAUUGGUGGGCAAGCAGGUGCAGUGUAUUCAUGGAAGCAGGAUGGGCAUCCGAAGGAAAAGGAGUCAAGUAAUGAAACAUAAUCACAUAAGGAGGAUGCAGGAGACAGGACAGAGUAGGGAGGUGACUGGGUCUGUAGUUACAUUGGGAGUUGGGAGCUGGACAUGUAUGUUUUCCUCUACCUGACACUUUCUGUGUCACACUCUCCAAAGAUCCAAGUGCAUGUGCACUUUGAGAAGAGGUGCCUUUUCUCAGGGGCUCUGUUAUUAAGAGGACCAGCAAGGUGCCUGAGAAAAGGUUACUGGUUGGGGGGUAGCUGGCUCAGCAUGGUGAAGCCAAGUCAGGUGGUACAGUAGGCAUGGUCCUGUGCAAAAAUCUGAGGCAAAGGCUUUCAUUCCGUGUAAGACUCCCUUUCCAGUGUGACCUGUUGUUUGUACGCCAGGUGCAUGACAGAACACAACUGGCCCUAAAGAAUGAGGCAACACAGCCCACCCACUGUCCCGGCUGGUCUUUGAGGAUGGACUUUCUGCAGAAGGAGCAAUGUCUCCAAGCCCAGCUCAAGGAAUGUUCACACAACAAUAAUCCAGAUCCAGAGAGCAACCAGGGCCAGUCAUAUUUCAUCCUUCAUAAGCAAGGGGUUUGGGGUGUGUCCAGCUGAUCAGAGAGAGUCCUAGUCUGAAGUGCUUUCUGCCUGGGAAAAGCAAGCUGCCCAAUUCUUGUUUUAGGGCCACACUUCACUCAGCUCCCACCACCCUGAACACUUGCCCACAUCUCACAGUAUGCCCUCGUGGCCACAGCACCCAGCAACACCAUUGAGAAGCAUCACGAUGUUGGUGAGUUGAGCUUUUGGACAAGCUUAUACAAAGUAGGACAUUCUAAGCACACAUGCUGGACAUUUUCUCCUCCAUGUGAAAGGCCUGGUUUUGAUGUACGUUCUCAGUAACCCCAUGGAGUUACCAUGCUUCCCAGGUGAGAAACUGAGGCUUAGCAAGAUACAGUACCUCCCAGGUCACACGGUCACAGGCUGUGUGUCACUAGGUCAUUGUUGUUUCAACUUGUAAGCUCUAUAUAGGUCAGAUGGUGGACUUUUGUGUGAUUCUGAUACCUACAAGCUAUAUGACUGGAGACCAGGCAUUUUUGUCUCUUUGAAACUUCAUUUACUUCUUUACAACAAAAAAUACAUGAUCCAUCACAUGCAGGCUGAAUUCAUAUUGAGAAAUGAAUGAAAAUGCCUACCUUGGAGUCCAGCACACAACAGAUACUAUCUAGAAAUAUCUAGAAUAGAAAAAUAGAUAUAUAGAAUAUCCAGAGUAGAAAGUAGAAUAACUAGAAUAGAAAAGACAGACAUAUGUACAUAUACGCACACAGAGACAGGCAGGCAGGCAGGCAGACAGACAGACAGACAAGACAGGCAGAGCUAUACCUAGCUGGGUUCUCUGAAUAAGCAUCCAAUUAACCUCUAGAAGAAAGACAGUGAAAAAAGGUAUAUCCUGCUAUUUAUGCAAUUGACCAGCUGGUAAGCAACCCAGCUUACUUCCUUCUAAAUGGGAGAGAAAAAGACUUAAAAUGAAUACAAGAAAAUUUGAAUAGGGUCUGGUGAGAUCCCAGCAUAUGCAGGUACAGCAGCUCAAACAGAUCAAAACAGUCCUCCAAUGUUGCUUUGCUUCAAGCUCUGCCUGCCUCAGAAGUGACCAUCAGUCCUACCCCAGCACUGCUUCUCCAGCUCGCAAGUCAACAUCAUGAAGCCAGCAGUCUGUGUGUUGCAUGCCUGCAAAUCCCAGCUCUCACAAUAUGAAGCAAGGUUAUCCCUUAACUACACAGUGAAUUUGAGGCCAGCCUGGGUGACAUGACAUAGUGCCUUCAAAACAAAAUGAGUUGAAAAGCUCUUUAACCUUCCCCAUAUCCCUCAAGAUUAGAUUCUUCUUUCCAAGAAGGGAGUCCCCAUAAUUUUAGGAAGCAUUUAAGGACUUUUUAACCUUAGAGAAUUCGUAAAGAUAAUAGUCCAGAAUUUCCAGCUUAAAGCUUGAGAGAAAGGCUGGUGUUUGUCCUUUCCUCAUCUGAGCUCCUCAAGGUAAACUGAACCAAGGCUACUCAUCUCUUCUCUCUCUGUCUCUCCCAGACCCAUCUUGAAGGUACAGAGGCAGACAACCUCCCUGCCACUCAGAUCUCAGACCCCCAAAGAAGCACAUUGAGAUGGUAUUCCCAGGAAUCUGUGUGACAGAAGCAGGAAGCAGGGCAAAGCGGCCCUGCAGAGUUUUCCAGAGGAAAUGAGUCAAGGGGUGUUAUGCAGUCACACAUGGCCAGGCAAGGAAAUGGCAUUGUCUGGGGACCAGCACACAGAGUCUUACAUAAGGGACACCCUCUCACUUUCUGGCCAUGGCCGUAUUUGGGGAUUGGCAAAAACAUGAGAAGGAGUACCUCUGGCCUGUGUAAACACGAGCUGCAUUAGGGUGGUAGGCAGAGGUCUGGGUGGGGAUUCUCGCUGGCUCGAUGCUGGGGAGAAAACUGACUCACAUGUCUUCAUGCCCUGCCACACACUGGUUAGGCUACUGCUCUGAGGACAGACUACCAGUCUCCGUCUACACAAAGUAUGCCUUCAAUACAUGCCAAUCCGGGUCCUAAGGAAAAACAUGGCGCCACCCUAUCCAAGACAGAGAAUUAAAGCAAAAAAGACACAGGGUCCUGAGGCUGCAGUGAAGUCUGGCCAGGGUCCCUGGCAGUGUAAAGGGAAAAAACAAAGUGCUCGAGUCCACAAGACAGCUCCGAAAUGAGCACAGAUGAGGGUACCUCCCGCAAGAAGCAAGAGAGACUGGGAAUCAGAAAACCAACAAUCCUACUGCAUGCACCAGACAGCCCCUAACCAGGCUGAGCAGACUCUACCAAUUCAACGUAGUCAAUUCAGUGGUUGCAGCCCUUGGUAUAGUACAAGAGGGGAGAGAGAAUGAGCUGCAAGCGGAUUCUCAGCAGAGGUUGCACGGGCAGCCCCACUCUGCAGCACACACACAUGCAAACACAUGCGCCUUCUCUUCAAAAGGUGAAGCUUAAGGCUUCUGGCUAAACCCAGUCCCCCAUGAACUUUGAAGAAUCAGAAUUGAAGGAGGGCAGUGCUGGUGCACACCUUUAACCCCAGCAAUUAGAAGGCAGAGGCAAGUGGAUCUCUGAGUUUGAGGCCAGACUGGUCUACAGAGUGAGUUCUAGGACAAUCAGAGCUACACAGAGAACCCUGUCUCAAAAAAAAAAAGGAAGGAAAGAAGAAAGAAAGGAGAAAAGAAAAGAAAAACAAACAAACCAAAAAUCAGAAUUGAAAGCCAGUUUUGUUUGAGGUUUCACUGAAGGGAACUUUUAGAAAGUUGGAGGUACAGGAAAAUCAUUUGGUCCUUGUGCCCUGUUAGCAGAGAACCUGAUCUUAAACCUUAUCACUCCACUGUGCUUCAUAAUAGACUUCCGACCUCAAGGAUCCUGGGAGGAGGCUACUUCAAAGUAAAACGUAAAACAGACCGUGAUGCGUAACUAACAUCUGUCAAGACCCAGUGAAGCUCAAAACUGUCUAGAUUUCAGUGUCACAAUCAGGUCCCCCAUCUCUGCAGACUCCUUCCUUCUAGUCUUAUUCCAGCAUCCUGCCUUAGCUCUCACAACUUUGCUGUAUUUGGCCUUUUUCUCGAAGCAUGGCUGUCCGUGUGAGCUGCCAGGUAUUUCCCCAUUACAAGUUCAUACGAAGGACCUUUAUUCCCCCCUUUCCCUUUGUGUGAUUGCAAGGUGAGAUAUGAGACGGAGAAAGUUUCCUGGAAGAAAGUCCUCCAUCUAUGUCAAGGGUAAUGAAAACCUCUGCUUCAUCAUUUCUAGUGGGACGAGGCAAGAUGGAGGUUGGUGGUUUAUGGCUUAGGGAGGGAUGGGGCAGUCUGCCUGCCUUGAGAGCCACUAGUUUCUAUCCAGCCAAGUAGAGCCCAGCAUCAUCCACUCAUGCCAGCUUUGCUUACAAAUAAAAAAAGGAGGAAAGAAAACCCUCACAGUUUAGCUUAAAAGGACCUUUCAUGCCUUGCCAGGCCUCUGCCUUCUCCUCACCACGCCUCUGUCGCAAAGUACAAUACAUAUGUUUAUCUUGCUUCAAGCAGGGGUAUAUUAAAAUACUUGAGGAUUUUCCCCUCCUAACACUGGCAUGUUGGCUCCCAGAGGCUGCACAGCCACAUAUCAUGAAUUGCAAAAGCAGCCGUAAAUUACUGCCUUUGCAAACACACAGACCUUUCCUGAGGUUGCAAGUCGCAUCACUUUAAAGGCUGACUUUCUUCAAACUUCCAGGAACUGAAUGGCUCAGAGCCCAUCUAUUUAAAGGUCAGCCUAGCCUUGCUGUAGUUGGAGGGCUGCCUCGGACACAAGCUUAUUCUCGGUCCCUCUCCACAGCCACCACAGCCAGGCAGGCUAUGAGCAGCAGUGUAUCCCUUUCAAAGGAUGCACAACGUGUUGCCAGACACAGAGGCACGAGGCAGGAGGCGGGUGGAGUGGGUAGGCAGGGAUGGA